CUGCUAAGUAUCACUGAGUGUUUCAGGGGGUGGCCCGUGCUCACAGGAGGGCCCGGAAGGUGCCCGCAGCCCUGGCCUUGUGCUGGGAGGACAGGUUUAUGGGGCUGAAGAGGUCACUCACACCCAGCCUCUGCCCCUGCUCCUUGGCCUCCUCCCACGGGACCAGGGCUCCUCACAGGCACCUCCUGUGGAGGACAGCUGCUGCCCCCAAACCCGACGCUUUAUGCCAGCAGACCCUGGGGAGGAGGAAGGAUGUCAGUGCCCCAGUGACAGGCCCUGAGGAGGUUCUCCUAGUUGUUGAAUACCCAGACACGACUGUGGCAGCACCCGGGCCAUGCAUGCAGCAGAGGCAUUUGCUGAAAAUUCAGCAUCACUCACGCUGCAGGUGGGAGCAGUCACCCACAUAAGGUGCAAACCGAGCUCAUUGCACCCUGAGCCGUCUCCUGCCAGCACAGAGCCAGGGAGAGGCUGCAUCUUCUAAAAGGCCUUGUGCAAGUCCUUCUACUCCUACCAGCAAAAUUUUGUCUUCCCAUUGCACCUCCUGAAAGGGGUGGUUGAACAGUCUGAGACGACUGUGGUAGACGUGGAGCUUUGCUGUGAUGCCUUGUCCGGCAGCAAUUGGUUCUGAGAGCUGAUUUCCAAGUUGCAAUGCCUUCCUCUGAGAUUUCCUAUGCAUAUAAACAUAACUCAGGUUGAGAAUCCCAAUCUAAUUACCACAUUUCACAGGUUGUGGGGCAUUAGCUGAGCUACAGUAACUAUCUGUGUAUGCAUUCUUAGUUUGCAGCAAAUGUAAAUUUAUAUUUAAAUUGUUUUCUUGACAUAUAAGAUCAGUAACAGUACUUAGCAAUUACUUCUGGAUAACAGUGUGUACUUGCCAGCUAGCUUAGGUGACCUGCAGCAACCUGUUAAGUGCAUUUACUUAUUUGCAGAAAAGAAAGAGGGAGAGUAAUGAACUGAAAAGCCGUGAAGAAGAAAACUCGUCGUCUCGUGACUUCGAUACUGAAUUCAGCCACAACUGUUCCAGGACACGGCGUCGCAGUGAGCUCCCACCUCCCUAAAACACUCUGCUCAUCAGAUCCUGUCAGGCUACACCUCCAUCAGUCCCUUGACUUCAGAAAAGUCCCAGGGCACCCAGACAAAAGCU
rnacentral:lncRNA from 1 species